CAGUCGCCGCGGGAAUACGAAGGGGGCUAGCGUUGUUCGGAUUUACUGGGCGUAAAGGGCGCGUAGGCGGACUGAUAAGUCAGGGGUGAAAUCCCAAGGCUCAACCUUGGAGCUGCCUUUGAUACUGUUUGUCUUGAGUUCGAGAGAGGUAAGUGGAACUGCGAGUGUAGAGGUGAAAUUCGUAGAUAUUCGCAAGAACACCAGUGGCGAAGGCGGCUUACUGGCUCGAAACUGACGCUGAGGCGCGAAAGCGUGGGGAGCAAACAGGAUUAGAUACCCCAGUAGUCCCUGUCUCUUAUAC
rnacentral:rRNA from 1 species